rnacentral:misc_RNA from 1 species
UUUUAAUGCUUGCAUACCAUUAAUCUUAAACAUUACACACUGAACUAUCAUUAGUUCAUUAAACAAUAAGAAUCAAAUUAAGAGUCCCAGAAGCUAAUAAUUGAUAUUUUUCCUUUCUAUUUACAAUUAAUUAAUUUCACCUCCUUCAACUUCCUUCACCUCCCCUUGGGCCACAAUAGCUUCAAAUUUGAAGACUGAUAACGGAAACGAUUUGGACAGACCUGCUGGCGUCUUGAAGGUAAUCGAAGCAGCACGGUUGUUAUCAUUGACAUAAAUCUCGCUCAAGGUAAUCCAAAUCAAGAACUCCUUGGCUUUAACACCAGUCAGAUUCUUGAUCUUCUUUCGUUCAAAAUAUGCAGUGACUUCGGUGUCAUAACAGAUUUCUACAUUCUCAAACUUAUAGUAAUCUCUCUUCUUUUUGUGCCUGAGCCAAACAAAGCCAGUAUCCUUAACAUACCCACAUUCCUCUAUCUCUCCUAUUGUUAAGAGACCAUUUGGCAGACCUAUUUCGCUCAGCAGCAACAUAAACUUUUCUCUACAACUCUCGUCUCCAUAAUAAAUCUCAGCCCUGGCUUUCAUGUCCCGUGUCACCGCGGAAAUCUCCCUGCCUCGGUGAAGCUUUGGAAGCAGCUGCAGGUUUGGUGUUGGGACUGUUGGGUGCAUAUUGGAUUCCAAAUGGUUUUUUUCAAAGAAGAAGAUGGAUUGAUAGAGGCAAAAGCAGGAAGUUUAUUAGGUGAUAAUAUAGGGAGAUGGGUACUUCUUUGACUGUUAGGUUUAUUCAAGGAACCUGG